CAAGUCGAGGGGUAGUCUCGUUUCGGCGAGAUGAGACCGGCGCACGGGUGCGUAACGCGUAUGCAAUCUACCUAUUGCUGAGGGAUAGCCCAGAGAAAUUUGGAUUAAUACCUCAUAGUAUCUCGUUAACGCAUGUUAACGAGAUUAAAGAUUUAUCGGCAAUAGAUGAGCAUGCGUCCCAUUAGUUAGUUGGUAAGGUAACGGCUUACCAAGACAAUGAUGGGUAGGGGUCCUGAGAGGGAGAUCCCCCACACUGGUACUGAGACACGGACCAGACUCCUACGGGAGGCAGCAGUGAGGAAUAUUGGGCAAUGCUCGAGAGAGUGACCCAGCCAUGCCGCGUGCAGGAUGACGGUCCUAUGGAUUGUAAACUGCUUUUAUACGGGAAGAAACACUUCCUUGCGAGGGAGCUUGACGGUACCGUAUGAAUAAGGAUCGGCUAACUCCGUGCCAGCAGCCGCGGUAAUACGGAGGAUCCAAGCGUUAUCCGGAAUCAUUGGGUUUAAAGGGUCCGUAGGCGGCUUAAUAAGUCAGUGGUGAAAUCUCACAGCUCAACUGUGAAACUGCCAUUGAUACUGUUAGGCUUGAAUAAUUGUGAAGUAACUAGAAUAUGUAGUGUAGCGGUGAAAUGCUUAGAUAUUACAUGGAAUACCAAUUGCGAAGGCAGGUUACUAACAAUUUAUUGACGCUGAUGGACGAAAGCGUGGGGAGCGAACAGGAUUAGAUACCCUGGUAGUCCACGCCGUAAACGAUGGAUACUAGCUGUUGGGAGUAAUCUCAGUGGUUAAGCGAAAGUGAUAAGUAUCCCACCUGGGGAGUACGGUCGCAAGACUGAAACUCAAAGGAAUUGACGG
rnacentral:rRNA from 1 species